rnacentral:lncRNA from 1 species
AAUAAUGAUGACAGGUUCUGACUUAGAUAAAGGAUUCUAAGUAUUAUCGUUGGACCCAUUAUGUAUUUGAAAGGUUAUGUUAGGUAAUAGACUAAUAUUGUAGUACAUGGAAGAAACUAUGUCAAGUAAAGGGGACGUACAUCCGCCAUGACUCAUUUUAGUUGAAUUAUUUAACGAUGAAAAAUGAUGUUGGAUUUAACAUUAAUAGUGCACAUAAUUGACGUACCUAUUAAACUAUUAAAUUAACAUUGUCAGUGCCAAGUGGGAGAAUAUAAAUUUCUAUGACCCACAUAAUUAAUUUAUUUACUGGUUUAAUAAUAAUUGAAUAAGUUAAAUCUUUAAUCUAUAUGGAAAGUUACCUAGUAGGAUAAUUACUGACUCCUAGUAGGAUUGUAUCCA